CCAACACCGUUUCAACUACCUGGACUGCUCUCUAGUUACUCCCUGAACACUUCAAUGGAUGAGUGAUCCAUGUGGAAAAACACUCACUGGAGAUUCUUUUUUUAUCGAUCACAUUUGAAGAUAAUCAUGCAGGAGUUACUAUCAGCAGUGCAUCACAAUCAGAGUGAACAAGAAAAGAGAAAACUCCAUCUUUUCAAGGGUUUAAAUCCCUUAGCCUGGGAAAAGAAAAUGAAAUGAACUAUAGAUAAGCUUUUUCCUCAAUUGAAUGUGCCAGAAACAAUAUUCUAGCCUUCCAAACUGAGGAAAUUAUCUACAGAAGAAAGGCGUUCAUUUGCAGGUAAGACAGAUGAGCAAAGCAUUAGAGACAAACUCAAAAGCUUAAACAGUGCGAAAAUCCAAAUAUUCCAGGGUUUCCUUAGGGAAUAAUCUUCAGAAAAUAUUUACCCUAUAUUCUAUAUUCUAGAAUUGCAUUAGAGCACUUUUU
rnacentral:lncRNA from 1 species